AUUUCACAACUGUCCGCUGGAAAGAAAUACAGGCAAUGAAGAGUCGUAAUUUGUCUGGGCAGGAGGGAGAAAGUACAUCAGUAAAAAGGCAACAAGUAGUAGAUCUUCAUUGGAUGAGUACACAUCACAGAAAAUGAACAACAAACAUCCAAGUGGUAAGAGUCACAUCUGUUCCAUUCUCCACACCAGCACUUGGGAUCAGGCACAGCUCCUCGAGUACACUCUGGGACUCGGUGAAAACUUCUGACUUCUGAUUCCAACAGGGAUGAGC
rnacentral:lncRNA from 1 species